GCUUGUCUCAAAGAUUAAGCCAUGCACGUCUAAGUAUAAGCGAUUAUACUGUGAAACUGCGAAUGGCUCAUUAUAUCAGUUAUAGUUUAUUUGAUGGUCCUUGCUACUUGGAUAACCGUAGUAAUUCUAGAGCUAAUACAUGCAUAAAGCCCUGACUGUUUGGAAGGGGUGUAUUUAUUAGAUAAAAAACCAAUCGGCUUCGGCUGUCUGAGGUGAAUCAUAAUAACUUUGCGAAUCGCAUGGCCUUGUGCCGGCGAUGAAUCAUUCAAAUUUCUGCCCUAUCAACUUUCGAUGGUAAGGUAUUGGCUUACCAUGGUUGCAACGGGUAACGGAGAAUUAGGGUUCGAUUCCGGAGAGGGCGCCUGAGAAAUGGCGACCACAUCCAAGGAAGGCAGCAGG
rnacentral:rRNA from 1 species